GGGGCUGUGGCUGAGUGGUAGAGCAUCAGCUUGGCAUGCAGAAGGUCCCAAGUUCAAGCCUUGGUGGACCAA
rnacentral:tRNA from 1 species